UUGAUACUGUCUGACUUGAAUUAUUAGGAAGUAACUAGAAUUGUAGUGUAGCGGUGAAAUGCUUAGAGAUUACAUGGAAUACCAAUUGCGAAGGCAGGUUACUACUAAUGGAUUGACGCUGAUGGACGAAAGCGUGGGUAGCGAACAGGAUUAGAUACCCUGGUAGUCCACGCCGUAAACGAUGGAUACUAGCUGUUGGGAGCAAUCUCAGUGGCUAAGCGAAAGUGAUAAGUAUCCC
rnacentral:rRNA from 1 species